rnacentral:lncRNA from 1 species
AGGCACAAGCGGCUCUCUGUAAAUAAAUAAGUGAACUAAUUGGUUGGUUAAUUCUAAACAGAUCAUAAAUGCUCCACUUGUUUCUCAAUCACACUGAUCACUCCAGGAAGAUUAUUAAGCAAUUGUUUUGCAUACUGCAAUAAGACAGACGGAGAGAGGAGAGAGAAGGACAGACAGAGAGACUGCUCAAAUAAAAACAUGGGGAAAGACGGUGUGUAAUGUGAGUAGAUCCUAAUGAAGAAAGUCUCCCAACCACCAUGUCUGAUUCUGAUCAAACCUGAGGUUCUCUACACACCUGCACGACUAGAGGAUGAGAAGAUCCAAGUAAGAUCUUACUCUACCCUGGCACCAUUCUAGGAAUUGAAGAUAUGAUGGUAGACAAGACACAUGGGGUCCCUGCCUUUAUGGAGCCGAGAAGCCAGUGCAGAUGACAGACAGUAAUGGGUGAACAAAGAGGAACAUAUGAAUUCACACGAGAUGGAGAAAAUUGUGCCCAGUGGGGCUGUGGAAAGGUUGGAUAGAGGCUGGGGAUUACCAGACAAUAAGAGGAUGGUGGCCCUCUUAGAGGAGAUAAAAGAUCAGCAGCAAUAUGAACAAGGAGAAGGAGAGGAAACACUGGAGGAUUUCUAGGGAGAAAAAUCAGCAAGUGCUGAAAUCGAUGUGGCCAUGAGUUUGGUGUCUUAGAAACUGCACGGCUAGAAAGGAAUGAGCAAGGACAUGAUGAAGAUGAACUAGAGGGUUCUUUGGGGGCCAGAUCAUGAAGUACCGGGAAAGACAUGGCAAAGACCUUUGAUUUUAUUUUUAACUGUUAUGGGAAGCUAGUGAAUCAUUUAAAUGGAGGAGUAACAUUCUGAUUUGUCAGUUAAAAUAUCACACUGGCUACUGUUAGGAGAAUAGAUUGGUGAGGGGCAUAAGUAGAAACAGUCAGGCAAAUACAAGAUGUGUUGAGCAAUGUUCAUACCUACCCAAAUCACGUCUCCUUUCUUACACAGUAAAAAAUUCAGUGCUUCUUCUGGUCAGUCCUGUGACUGCCUAGAAAAGGGUAUUUAAUCUUCUGUCCUUCAAGAAGGAGUCGCUGGUGGGGUGUAAUCAGAAGCUGGAGAGGGAGUCAGAGUCCCGUUGGCCCUUGCUCUUUCCUCCUGUCUGUGGUCAGGGGUGUGACCAUGAUGGCCAACCAGUGAUAUCGGCGUCUUGGGCCAUGGGGUUACUCUAGGAAUGCAGAGCAAGAAGGUAGAAGGAUGGGAUUCUGUGUGGAAGAAUACAGGCAAACCUCACUUCAUUGGGCUUUGCUUUAUCUUGCUUCAAACAUAUUGCACUUUAUACAAAUUGAAGUUUUGCAACAACCCUGCAUUGGGCAAGACUAUUGGGUGACAUUUAUUCAACAGCAUUUGCUCACUUCAUGUCUCUAUGUCACAUUUUGAUAAUUUAAAAAUAUUCCAAGCUUUUUCAUUAUUAUUAUAUUUGUUUUGGUGAUUUGUGAUCAGCCAUCUUUGAUGUUAUUGUUGUAAUACUUUUGGUAUUUUUAGCAACAAAGUAUUUUUAACUAAGAUAUAUACAUUGCUUCUUAGACAUAAUGCUAUUGCACACUUAAGAGACUACACUGUAGUAUCAACAUAACUUUUUUAUGCACUGGGAAACCAGAACUUUCAUGUGACUCGCUUUAUUGCAUAUUCGCUUUAUUGUAAUGGUCUGGAAAAGAACCCACACUGCCUUGGAUGAAAACCUGUAAAUUUCUGUUUUGUUUAAGCCACUGACAUUUGGGGGUUUAGGUUAGGCAAAUCUAACUCCAACUAAUUCGGUAGACAACCAUGGCUUAAUGAGACCCCAAAAAUGUUUGACUUGGGUAUAGUGUAGAAGGUGGGAUUUGUUGGGUAGCAAAGUAUAUUUUUAAAGUGGAAUCAUGAGUAUUUACUGAUCUGAAUUUUCUGGAUGAAUGUGGAAGAUGAGAGAAAGAGAGGAACCAAGGAUGGCUUCCAGGAUUUUUGCCUUGGUAACUGGAAAGUGGAUAAUAAAACAAGCUCCUGGUGUAGGAUUACAAGGGGGCAGAGUUCUAAU